rnacentral:lncRNA from 1 species
AUUUAGGAUGUAUUAUAUAAGUCAUAUGUCAAUUUGUAUUCGAAGUGCUUGCAAAAUCUCUCAUGUAUUUAAAGGGUGGGAUAUAUCAUAGAAAAAACACACAAGGCUCAAGACAAAUAUCGAAGAUCAGUAUUAUUUGUGUCCAAGGGAUCGGCCGCGCGUCAGCAUCACGUCGUAGGUUAGGUCCAAGAGUGUCACCAUCAUUUGAUUUGGAAAAAUAUAUAAUAAACGCGCGCUCUCACUCUCCACCACUGACGCUUGCAUUGGCACACCAGAGAGGCAUCACGGAUGUACGAAAGACUUUUCUUGGAUGUGGACGGAGCGGCCGGGAGAUGACGAUGGCCACCGUCGACAACCUGAAGCGCCUCUGCAUCGACCAUUACUUCGAGGAAGAGAUCGAGAGCGCCAUGAGCAGCACAUGCAUGGAUCUCCUCCACAGCGACGACCUCCUCGAUGCAACCCUCUCCUUCAGGCUCAUGAGAGAGACCGGGCAUCAUGUUUCAGCAGGUCAGUAUUAAUAAGUAUAUAUACACAUAUAUAUGGUGUAGAGAGAGACCAUCAAAACUCAAGAUCCAAGCUAAUGUUUUCCACAUGUGCAAUUCUGUCUCUAUAUAUACUGUGCCAGUAGACCACAUUGGCAAUAAUACUUCCUCAAAAAAAAAAAAACAUUGGCAAUAAUAGACCCUGUGAAAAACAUAGGCAUAAAUAAAGCCACUGAAACUAGUACGGCAAUGGUGGCACAUUAAACCAGAAAUUUAAAAAGUUUCACAAAGUGAUGGCAAGACUCUAAAUAUACAUCACAGAGCAAUAAUGGCUAAAACCAAAACCGUAAUUGACAGUGUCACAAACAUACCAAAUCCACUUUCAGUAGUUUCAAAUUGUAAGCUCAUCCGGCCUCAAUAGACAUUGGAAAGAAAAUAUAUAUACUGAUGUUCAUGGCUGAACAAAUAGCUAGUUUGUAUGACCCCUCUGAAUCAACGUGCAUAUGAAUGCAGAUGACGUUCUCAGGAGGUUCACCAAUGGCGCCGGCAAGUUCAGCCUUGCUCUCAGCAAGGACACCAUGGGGCUCCUAAGCCUGCAUGACAUGUCACACCUGGACAUCGGAGAAGAACAAACACUCCAUGAGGCCAAGGAGUUCUCAAGAAAGCACCUUGCAUCUGCCAUCAGCAACAUGGAGCCAGGCCUUGCGAGGUAUGUGAGGCAGUCACUGGACCACCCCUACCACCUGAGCUUGAUGCAGUACAAGGCAAGGCACCACCUCAGCUACCUGCAGAACCUGCCCAGUAGGAGCACUGCUGCAAUGGAGGAGUUGGCAGUUGCAGAGUUCCAGCUUAACAAAAUGCUGCAUCAGAUGGAAAUGAAAGAGAUCAAAAGGUACAUUAUAUGCAUAGAUAUAUAUAUAAGCCAUCGGUCGUCCUUGCUAGAAAUGCAUAUUUUGACCUGUUGGCUUAUUAUUUUCUUAACUAAUCGUCAUGCUAAUCUAAUAGAAUCGGUCGUCCUUACUUGUUUUUCCUUUUUCUAAGAGUCAAGUAAAAAAAAGUCUCUUUAAAUAUAUAUGAACCCUAAUUAUUGUUAGAGAAACCCCAACCCAUGUAAUGCAGAUGGUGGAUGAACUUAGGAUUAGCUCAAGAAAUACCGGUGGCUCGGGACCAGGUCCUCAAAUGGUACACAUGGUCCAUGACUAUACUCCAAGGAUCUUCCUUCUCCAAAUACAGAGUUGAGAUCACAAAGAUUAUCUCGAUCGCCUAUGUUGUGGAUGACAUAUUUGAUCUUGUUGGCACCCUGGAGGAGCUCUCCCUCUUCACCGAGGCAAUCAAAAUGUAAGCUUGGAUAUGCAUGCUUCUUUGCAAAAUAACAAUGCCACAUAUACAAUCUGUGAGGUUCAGAAUUAUUUAAAAACUUAUGUUACAAUCUGUAGGUGGGAUGUCGCAGCUGCUGAUUCACUCCCCUGUUACAUGAGAUCAUGCUACAAAGCUCUUUACACAGUUACAAAUGAGAUGGCAGAUAUGGCUGAGAAUGAGCACGGGCUGAACCCUAUCGAUCAUCUCAGGAAAGCUGUAAGUUGCACACACAAAUAUAAUAUCUCCAGAAUUUUAUUUGGAUGAUAAAAUUAAUUGUAUAUAUAAAAAAUGUUAUCAAUGUACAUGAUUCCUCAAAAAGAUGUUGUAGAUGUAGCUAUGAUUCCUAGCUAGUUACUGAAUCUUACAAGCGUUACUGAAUGGAGAAGAAGAUUCAGAAUACUUACCUCUGCCAUUGCUACGUACUAACCACAGAAGAAUUAACUACUUACUGAAUGGAGAAUAAGAUUCAGAAUAUUUGCUUCUGCCAUCGUUAAUAACCACAAAAGAAUUAAUUAUUAUAUUACUACAUGGGCCCUUACUACAUUUCUUUUUUGCAGUGGGCAAUGCUGUUUGAUGCGUUCAUGGUUGAGGCAAAAUGGCUAGCAACUGAUCAGGUUCCUUCCGCAGAUGAGUACUUGAGAAACGGUGUCAUCACUUCAGUAGUGCCGCUCGCAUUUGUGCACAUACUCUUCCUUCUAGGGCAUCACCAUGCAGCGAGUGGCAACGCCGCAGAGCUCAGCGACAGCAUCCCUCCAGCCAUCACCAGCUUAUCCAAAAUCCUUAGACUCUGGGAUGACAUGGGUAGUGCCAAGGUCAGAAUGAUCGAUUGUAAUAUUUUUUGAAAUAUAGCAUAGAUAUAAAUGGAUUUUAUUUUCUGAUAAUAUAAUAGUAAUGCAUAGAAGAACUAGCAGUAGGAGUAUACCUGUUACAAAUAGGAGCAGGAGAGAUCAUCAGAUGAAUCACUAUCACUACACGUUGAAUUAAAAUAAACUCAACUUGUUGCAUUAUAUUAGUUGGAUUUUGCUGCUUGCAGGAUGAAGCACAGGAAGGGUUGGAUGGGUCAUACAGGGAGCUGUACCUGAGGGAGCAUCCUGCAGCCGCCGGCGACGUGGAAGAACACAUGCGCAGGCUGAUCGCCAAGGAGUGGCAGGAGCUCAACCGGGAGUGCUUCUCCAGGAGGACCUUCUCUUCCUGCUUGGCGCAGGCCUGCCUGAACGCCGCCAGGAUGGUCAGCGUCAUGUACAUGUAUGACAAGGAGCACAGGCUCCCUGUCCUUGAGGACUACAUGAGGCUGCUGCUGCUUUGAAACCUACUGCUCCAGCCUCCAGCUCAUCCUCAUAGAUGCGAAUCCAUGCAUGCAAGAUGGCAAGUGCGCUAUUAUGCUAUUAUUAAAACAAAGUGUGUUACUAACAACUAGCAGUAUGUGAGAGAUAGAUAUAGAUUAGGGACUAAGGAGUAGACAGGAGAGGAUAGAUUUAAUUAAUCCAGUUUGUACCUGUAUGGCAUAAUGGCAUUUUUUCCUCCUCUGGUUCUCUGCUUUCAUCGUGGACUAUUUCACUAUUACAUAAGUGGGCUACAGUCCUGGUUAAUUAGGAAAGACCUUUCAUAUUGUUUUUUUCGACCAAGACUGCGAAUCCAGGAUGUUAUGUGGUUAUGUACCGAAAAUGUACAUGUGGUUAUGUGAGAAUAUAUAUGUGUGGUUAACUGGUUAUGUACUCGAAAUAUAUAUAAUUAUGUACUCAAAAUAUACAAUAAAUAAACAAAACUCUGUUUUUGUUUUUUUGCAAGGGGUAAAACGGUCCAUAGAGCAAAUAAAUUUUGUUUUGAGGCCAUAAAGCCAAAAUUUGGACACAAUUUUGUUCAUGUCUCCUAUAAGAUUAAUGUGUGUGUAAGUUUGUACUUUCUUCAUGGAAAUAAUAAUUCUGCUUGGUCAAUUUGAAAGUCGAGGAAAGAUCAAUUUUUUUUUUGAAACGAACCGGCAGGAGAGCUGCCUGCUAUAUUAAAAAGAGGAGAGUGCCAAGACAGGCAAAAUACAAACACGAAAAAAAGCAGCACCCGCAGAGGGUGAAAGGAGAAAAAAUAUACACAGGAGUGCCAAUCAAAACUGUAGACGGUGGUGAUUCACGAAAUCGUCCAGGUGCUUUGCUCCUGCCAUGAUCCACACUCUCACCCCCUCCUUGAUCUUUUGGAGAACCCCCAAGUUUGUGGACUCCGCUCGUUGAAAAAUUCUAGCAUUCCUUCCAAAUUUCCCAACAAAUUAGGAUGAUAAUCGACCGGAGGCCUCUCUUGUUUACACUAGGCACGUCUGAUAUGGCUGUCCACCACCUCUCUAGGUUGUCGCUAGGUGGCCAGGCAUUUGGCUGUAAUUCAUGGUUUGCUGUCCAAACGGCGAUUUCACUCCACAGACGUUUCGUGAACCUACAAUCUUUGAAAAGGUGCAAGCCCGUUUCUGCAUGUAGUCUACAUAGAGGGCAGAUCCUUUGGUUUGGCCAAUUUCGUGCUUGUAAUCUGUCAGCAGUCCAAAUUCGGUUUUGUAUGGCAAGCCAGCUGAAGAAUUUGCAUUUAGGCGGCGCCCAUGCCUUCCAAAUAAUAGUUUCAAAAUUAUUGCGGGUUGUGCCUAUAAACUGGGCGUGGUAGGCUGACGAAGCAGAGUAGUCACCAUUUUUCUGGAAUUUCCAUGUGAGGGUAUCUGGCGUCCCUGUUCUCAACGUGAUGCGCCUGGCCUCUUGCCACAGAUGCCUGUACUCAACAAAGUGCUGGGCAGAAAAGCUUGAAUGUUGUAGGCUGAUGUCAUGUAUCCAGUUGUUGUCGAGUAGAGCUUGAUGCAGCGUUCUGUUUUUUUUCCUGGAAAUAGAGUAAAAAUGUGGCACUACAUCACAGGGGCGCUGGCCAUUUAGCCAUGCACUCUUCCAGAAAGACGCUCGUUCUCCAUUUCCAAUUGUGAGCGUUGUGGAAGCCGCAAAGAUUUAGACAACUGCAGCCAUCAAUUUGGACACAAUUUAGGAUGUAUUAUAUAAGACAUAUAUGUCAAUUUGUAUUCGAAGCUAGUGCUUGCAAAAUCUCUCAUGUACUUAAAGGGCGGGAUAUAUCAUAGAAAAAACACACAAGUGGCUCAAGACAAAUAUCGAAGAUCAUUCAAAAUGAAAUAAAUUCAGAAAACACUGUCUCUGGAGGGGAUCUGAUGAUAAUAGCAGAAUUAAUGCUAAGGCUGCUUGGAGUCUGGUCGCUAGGACAAAACAGAAUGGUGGACUUGGGGUUUUGGAUUUGAGAACCCAGAACGAAGCCCUCCUUCUAAAACAGUUACACAAGUUCUUCAAUCGAGCUGAUAUUCCUUGGGUGCAUUUAGUUUGGGAAAAACACUAUAACAAUGGAAAGCUUCCUGGCCAUACUAAGAAGGGGUCCUUCUGGUGGUGGGACGUUUUAAAACUGCUUGACAAGUUUAAAGGCAUGGCAACCCCCCAAAUCAAUGAUGGCGCCACUUGCCUCUUCUGGGAUGAUUGCUGGGCUGGCCAACCCCUCAAGCAGACAUUCCCUGAACUUUUCUCGUUUGCCAAGAAAGCUGAAAUCUCCCUUAAAAAUACCCUUGCUGAAAGUCAGUUCUAUAGGCUCUUUAAUCUUCCUCUCAGCAUCCAGGCCUUUGAUCAGCUUCAGGAGUUACAAGAGUUCUAGCAUAGUUUAAACCCCAGCUCUAAUUUGGAUGUUUGGAGAUACAUUUGGGGAGAUAGCACAUUCUCUCCUAAGCAAGCCUAUAAUCAACUCAUGGGAACAAAUGAAGUUCACCCUAUCUUUAGCUGGAUUUGGAAAUCUUCAUGUCAUUUGGAAAUCUUCAUGUCAGCCGAAACAUAAAGUCUUUUUCUGGCUUGUUCUCCUUGACAGAGUCAGCACCAGGAAUCUUUUAAGAAGGAAGCAGAUGUUUCUUCCUUCAUAUAACUGCGCUCUCUGUAAUGAUGACAUGGAAGAAUAUGUUGAUCAUUUGUUUCUGGACUGCAGAAUCGCCAGAGAUUGUUGGGCGUUGAUUGGAUUAUCAGUAACCAGCUCGCCUGACAUGGUUCAAAAAUUUGAAAAUCUCAGAAACAAAAUUGGUAAGAGAUUCUUCAUAGAGAUAAUUAUCAUUAUGUGCUGGAGUAUCUGGACCAUCCGAAAUGAUGCCGUCUUCAGGGAAGUCCCAGCUUGCAGCCUCAGGUGUUUGGAAAUCUUCAGAAGCACCUUCAAGCAACUCCUUUGGAGAGCGAAGAAAAAAUACUUUCCUGCAAUUGAACUAUGGCUGAGCAAGCUGUAUUCUAGUUUCAAUUUUUUUUCUUUCCUUUUUUGUUCCCUAAUGUUCCUUUCAGUCUGUUCUGUUUUGUUUAUAUCUUGUAAACGCUGGUUUUGUUUCUUUUUAAUAAAAUUCCCAGUAGAGGUCCUCCCGGACCUCUCCUGUUCGCUCAAAAAAGUAUUAUUUGUGACCAAGGGAUCGGCCGCGCGUCAGCAUCAUGUCGUAGGUUAGGUCCAAGAGUGUCACCAUCAUUUGAUUUUUGGAAAAAUAUAUAAUAAACGCGCGCUCUCACUCUCCACCACCACUGACGCUUGCAUUGGCACACCAGAGAGGCAUCACGGAUGUACGAAAGACUUUUCUUGGAUGUGGACGGAGCGGCCGGGAGAUGAUGGCCACCGUCGACAACCUGAAGCGCCUCUGCAUCGAUCACUACUUCGAGGAAGAGAUC